rnacentral:sRNA from 1 species
CGGUAGAGUUAGAGCCCGUGCGGAGGCGGUGCGGAGCGGUUCGGCUCUGAGCGGCUGGGCGACCGGCGCGUCGUGCGGCGCUGCGGCGGAGCCUCCUUAAGGAAGGUGCAAGAGGUUGGCAGCUUCGAUUGAAGCACAUCGACCGGCGACAGCAGCCAGGAGUCAUGAGCGACAGCGGCGAGCAGAACUACGGCGAGCGGGUUAAUGUUGAAGAAGGAAAAUGCGGAAGUCGUCAUUUGACAAGUUUUAUAAAUGAGUAUUUGAAGCUCAGGAAUAAGUGAAGCUGAAAUUUGAAAAAAUAAAAGAAAGAAUGCAUGCUAAUUAUCAGACCAGAAGUCCCACUUGUAGAAUAUUGAGCAAUUUGUGUGAAGUGGGGAAGAUGAAAGAAGUCAGAAUUUGAAACGGAAGAAUGAAGAAAAGAAAUAAAAAUGAAGUUAAGAUAAGAAGUAAUCUGGAAUCAGAAAGCACUACGCUAAGUAAUUACUAGUCUGUUUAUGUGUCCCUGUAUAUUUUGCUAAACAUGCAUGCAUUAUUUGUU